rnacentral:rRNA from 1 species
CCGCCGGCGACCGGCGCACGGGUGAGUAACGCGUAUCCAACCUGCCCUUUACUAUGGGACAGCCCGUCGAAAGGCGGAUUAAUACCGUAUGUUGUCAUGUUGAUGCAUAUUUUCAUGACCAAAGGCUUCGGCCGGUAAAGGAUGGGGAUGCGUCUGAUUAGCUUGCCGGCGGGGUAACGGCCCACCGGGGCGACGAUCAGUAGGGGUUCUGAGAGGAAGGUCCCCCACAUUGGAACUGAGACACGGUCCAAACUCCUACGGGAGGCAGCAG